rnacentral:rRNA from 1 species
UGGGGAAUAUUGCACAAUGGGCGCAAGCCUGAUGCAGCAACGCCGCGUGAACGAUGAAGGUCUUCGGAUCGUAAAGUUCUGUUGCAGGGGAAGAUAAUGACGGUACCCUGUGAGGAAGCCCCGGCUAACUACGUGCCAGCAGCCGCGGUAAUACGUAGGGGGCUAGCGUUAUCCGGAUUUACUGGGCGUAAAGGGUGCGUAGGCGGUUUGUUAGGUCAGGAGUUAAAUCUGGGGGCUCAACCCCUAUCCGCUCCUGAUACCGGCAGGCUUGAGGCUGGUAGGGGAAGGCGGAAUUCCAAGUGUAGCGGUGAAAUGCGCAGAUAUUUGGAAGAACACCGGUGGCGAAGGCGGCCUUCUGGGCCACGACUGACGCUGAGGCGCGAAAGCUAGGGGAGCGAACAGG